GCUUAUGAGUAUCAUGCUUCUGAAUAUCUCCAAGCUGGAUAUUUCCAUUAAACAUGUUUCUGAAUACCUCCCAUAUAUAUUUCCGUUAGUCUGCUUAGUGCAUCAUUAAGAUUAUAAGCAUCAUUUUCAUUGAAUCCUGGUUACAUAUUUGUGUGUACUCAAGUUGAAAAUGGGACUUGGAAUAAUAUGCAAGUUUCAUAUUUUCUAUUGCAGCGAGUGGGUCGGUUAUGCACUGGCAGCAUCCUUGCUACUAGCGGUGGGCGCGAUGGUCCGGGCCAAGUAGAGAAAGAUAGGUGAGAUAUGCUCAGAGGUGAUCAUCGACAAGUCCUCGGACAAGAUGACGAUGGAGAGUAUAGUGGAGGCACAACACAUCAUGAAGAAGGUGCACGAGUACGUCAAGACGACGAACGUCGUGAUCCUCAGGCUAUGGUCCAUUAUUCUAGCCCGGUCACCAAAGGAAAUUCACCUGUGCGGCGGCGGCGGGGAAGGAGCAGCAUCGGCAGCCCUGACAGAGGAAGCCAUGUUGCCGUUUUGUUUGUUCCCGGCCUUGACUAUGGUUGUCCAGCGAGUCCGGCAUGUCGUCAUUUUCUUGUAAAGCAGUAUUGUAUCACACUUGUAGAGCUCGUUACACAUGUAGAUCUUGUAAAGUACUGUAUUACACAUGGUCAUAUGUAUUGGCAACGUGAUCUGGUUGCUCUUAUUUGAA